rnacentral:rRNA from 1 species
UAGGGAAUCUUCGGCAAUGGACGAAAGUCUGACCGAGCAACGCCGCGUGAGUGAAGAAGGUUUUCGGAUCGUAAAACUCUGUUGUUAGAGAAGAACAAGGACGUUAGUAACUGAACGUCCCCUGACGGUAUCUAACCAGAAAUCCACGGCUAACUACGUGCCAGCAGCCGCGGUAAUACGUAGGUGGCAAGCGUUGUCCGGAUUUAUUGGGCGUAAAGCGAGCGCAGGCGGUUUCUUAAGUCUGAUGUGAAAGCCCCCGGCUCAACCGGGGAGGGUCAUUGGAAACUGGGAGACUUGAGUGCAGAAGAGGAGAGUGGAAUUCCAUGUGUAGCGGUGAAAUGCGUAGAUAUAUGGAGGAACACCAGUGGCGAAGGCGGCUCUCUGGUCUGUAACUGACGCUGAGGCUCGAAAGCGUGGGGAGCAAACAGG